CAAACAUUUGUUUCAUAUAAAUUAGAUCAGAUUAGAUUAGACUAAUGAAAAAGCGUUUUGCUUUACUACCGUACUGUUAUUCAAAACUAUUAGGCACUAUUGAUAGAUCAACUAUUUCAUCUCUGUGAACGCGGAGAAAUAAAGUAUCGUUGAAAUGUUCUUCAGACAUUGUGAAUCUGAGGUACCCAUGUCUUAAGUCUCCGAAGUGCAGCAAAUGACCUAUCUGCCCGUACAAGAAGAUACUGGUAUUGUUAACACAAUUAAUAAACAGUUUAUUUAACUCUGGCAAUAAGUUAUGUGACUUUUUACACCUUUUUUUCAUUUUAUCAUUCUAAAUAGAUCCAUGAUGCGUUAGCUCAAAGGAUUAUUAUGCGUACCGAUUAAUGAUUAGACGCGGCCUGGACAACGUCAUUCUACGAUGUCGUGAGCUUUGUCAACAAUUCAUGGUCG